AUGGAGACAAUGGGUUUGUUUUCUAAGCUCCCAAUUUAUCAACCUCACUUUGAUAUUCUUUCUGGUAUCUUUAAACUGAGCCGGUGGCUAUUUUAUCAAGCUGAAUCUCUAAGGAAUAUGCUAUUCACAGAUCACCUUUGGAAGAUUUUACAUUUGAAUAUAUUCUUUGUUAGAUUAACAAAUAGUUUCUGGAAGGACUCAGUGAAGAUAAUGAAAAAAUCUAUAGAAGAAAGAUGAUAUGACAGAAAAACCCAAGUGGAGGAAAAUCUCAGGGAAUGAGAUGCAUUUUACCUCAUCCUGGGUGAAACGGGAGGCCGAGAUAAUGCCCUCGUGGAGAGCAGACACAAUGAAGUUGUCGUUGUUGAUUUAAAUUCCCUUGCACGGUGAAAAGUGUGUGGAAUUGGAAGAGAGGCGACCAGUCAUGAAGACACUGCUGACGAGAGGGCCGUCAGCUCGCACGGGGAUGGUGGCAGUGGCGAUGGAGAGACGCGGGUGGAUCAGGAGCAUGGACAGGAGUUGCGAGGUCCAGCGAUCGCCUAGGGCCUAUUCCCUCAGAACCUCCCCCGUUGGCCAUGCCCUGCGGAAGAGCUCAAGAAUCACACUCCUUCCUGGGCCUCAGAGAAGGAAGAUGGCUUUUAGGGAACAGGUGUCUGCCCACCCUAGGGCAGCAGGCAAAUCAUUCAACAGCUUUUGCUCCCAGCCCUGGGCGUCCUUAAGGUGGCUCCAAAUGGGUCCCAACCACCUUUUAGGCAUCAUCGAAUCAACGCCGGAGAAACAUUUUGACGAUUUUGUUGCUUGAUGUCCGUCUAAAUGGCGCACGUGCUCCUGACUCUGCAGAGGAGAUGCUGGACCCUGGGCCCGCCUGAUCCCAUGGGAACUGAGUGAGCCACAGGCCAGUUUCCUAGGCACUGACUGCACCAAGGGAUUUGGUGGUCUACAAAAUAUCGUAAUUUUGCCAGCCCUUGAGAAAACUGGAAUGCGUUUUAUCCCUCUUCUCUGGACAGCACUCCUUCUGAGACGUCUGUCCACCACGCAGGCACAACUCCCUGUUCAUUU